GAGAGGUGAGGGGGUCAGCUCCGGUGUGGGAUGCGCUCGGGGAGCCGCAGCUCGAGUCCGUCCGCUCUGCGGGCCAGCUGAGGAGGGGCGCGCACGGACGCAGGGACGCACGGACGCUGAAGCCCGCCCCGGAGCAUGUGGAAGCUGGGCAGGAGCCGGGUGCUUCUGGAUGAGCCCCCCGAGGAGGAAGAGGGCCUGCCAGGAGGGCCGCCGUCGGCUGCUGCCCCCGCUGCCGCCGCGGCGCAGGUGAGGGGGCGAG
rnacentral:lncRNA from 1 species